rnacentral:rRNA from 1 species
AGUGAACGCUGGCGGUAGGCCUAACACAUGCAAGUCGAACGGCAGCACAGUAAGAGCUUGCUCUUACGGGUGGCGAGUGGCGGACGGGUGAGGAAUACAUCGGAAUCUACUUUUUCGUGGGGGAUAACGUAGGGAAACUUACGCUAAUACCGCAUACGACCUACGGGUGAAAGCAGGGGAUCUUCGGACCUUGCGCGAUUGAAUGAGCCGAUGUCGGAUUAGCUAGUUGGCGGGGUAAAGGCCCACCAAGGCGACGAUCCGUAGCUGGUCUGAGAGGAUGAUCAGCCACACUGGAACUGAGACACGGUCCAGACUCCUACGGGAGGCAGCAGUGGGGAAUAUUGGACAAUGGGCGCAAGCCUGAUCCAGCCAUACCGCGUGGGUGAAGAAGGCCUUCGGGUUGUAAAGCCCUGUUGUUGGGAAAGAAAAGCAGCAGGUUAAUACCCCGAUGUUCUGACGGUACCUAAAGAAUAAGCAACGGCUAACUUCGUG